rnacentral:lncRNA from 1 species
CUCAGCCUCCCAAGUACCUGGGAUUACAGGGUCCUGCAGGAGCAGUCUGCUUCCUUCAGAGAGUCUGUCCUGAUGCCUUUAAAGACACAGUCUCAAGAUGAAAUGGUGAUUUGUUCAGAUAAUCUCUCCUGAGAAGGAAUCAGAGAAGAGAGGAAGAAAUGGUUGAUUGUCAGGCCUUGCUGUCUCUAAACCUGAUCGCAUCUCCUGCCUUGAGCAAAUAAAAGACCCCUGGAAUGUGAAGAGACAUGAGACAGUGGUCAAAUACUCAGGCAGGUAAGCAUGAAUGAAGCAGAUAACACAGACGAGAGGUACAAAGGUCAAAAAGAAUUGCAGACCUUAAA